GAUGAACGCUGGCGGCGUGCCUAAUACAUGCAAGUCGAGCGAACGGACGAGAAGCUUGCUUCUCUGAUGUUAGCGGCGGACGGGUGAGUAACACGUGGAUAACCUACCUAUAAGACUGGGAUAACUUCGGGAAACCGGAGCUAAUACCGGAUAAUAUUUUGAACCGCAUGGUCCAAAAGUGAAAGACGGUCUUGCUGUCACUUAUAGAUGGAUCCGCGCUGCAUUAGCUAGUUGGUAAGGUAACGGCUUACCAAGGCAACGAUGCAUAGCCGACCUGAGAGGGUGAUCGGCCACACUGGAACUGAGACACGGUCCAGACUCCUACGGGAGGCAGCAGUAGGGAAUCUUCCGCAAUGGGCGAAAGCCUGACGGAGCAACGCCGCGUGAGUGAUGAAGGUCUUUGGAUCGUAAAACUCUGUUAUUAGGGAAGAACAUAUGUGUAAGUAACUGUGCACAUCUUGACGGUACCUAAUCAGAAAGCCACGGCUAACUACGUG
rnacentral:rRNA from 1 species